GAUGGACUUUUCUCUCGUUACAACCGCUGCGAACCAGCUGCGUACGCCUGACAGCAACAGCACCUCCAGCAAAGCAUGACAAGCCAUCAAAGCCGCCCUGCCAAAAAGGAGCCGCCGACGUUCGCCUGCAAUCGCUGCUGCGGCGGCGACCAAGCUAAAGCUCCACUCCAAGCUCCAGCAUAAGCCGCUUACUCAUCCUCCUCAGCAUCGUUAUCCGCAAUGUUGAAGUAUCGGAGCUCGUAGACGUUCCUGUCCUUGUUAGAGGCAAUAACGCGCAGCCAGUCACGCACGUUGUGCUUCUUGAGGUACUUCUUCGUGAGGUACUUAAGGUACCGCUUGCUGAGGUGCGUCUCCGCAGUGACGGUCACCUUGGUCUUCUCCUUAGCCACCUUAAUGGAGUCACCCAGCACACCGGUCUUGCCGUCCACCUUAAUCUUAUCGAGCAAAAAUUUCUCAAAAGAAGAAAUGUCCAUAAUCUUAUCCUCCACCGGCUUGGCGCAGUCGAUGGUGAAGACCAGGGCCUUCUUCUUCGCCGCGCCCUUGGCGGCCGGCUUCUUAACACCAACGGCCAUCUUUAAAAGCAGCGGCUACACGCGUGCACGGAAGAAAGAGUUACCUAGGUAGCAAACACAGCUUUUCUAUUCACAAAUGCCGUUCCCUGUACGGAGGCGCCUCCAUAACUGUUCCAGCACUCUCAAGCCCGACAGCAUUCCGCUACGGUAGAGAUUCGUUUACACAACGACAAUGACCACGAUGCUGCUCGAAACAUCUCCAACUUUCGUGCUGUAUAUGACAAGGUAUUCCUCCGCCGAGCACUCCGCGGAUCCAAACUUGCCCAGCAUAUAGGUAGAUGUUAUGCCCGUUUCGAAAAGAAUUAAUAAGGAUCCAGGAGACCGUGACCGCCGCAUUCGCCGCUCAAGUUAAGUCUGUCAGCUCGGAACCAUGAGCUCCGGUUUCCAUGGUACAUCGUUAGUUGCUAACGGGUUUCCUAUCUUUGCUGGACCCGGCCCGAGUGGCCUGCUGUUGUAAGGGCACCUGUGAGCACGGGGCAACAGUUGCGGGAGACCAGUGUUGCAAAGCUCGUGCCAGUUGUAGACAGGGCUCGGCUGAGGGGCAGGAACAGCCUGUUCCCUUGGGUUAGCUUGCAGGUUGCGGGCCAGGUCCGGUUUACCAGCCGGGUUCAUGUGUCGGGUUCAUGUUCAAUUGCCGUAUCCGGUUGUAAGUAAGCUCUUCUCGUGGUACAAUAGGCAACGAAGACAGGUGCAAUCUAACCAUGCUGCGAUGCAGUUGGCAUGGUGGUAUGAUUGCACUGCCCGUCCAAAUAUGGGAGGGGAAGUACCUAGAGGCGGUAGGCGUGCGGCUACCGCUGCGUCGGGAAGCUCGUUCUCCUCCUCCUCAACGUUCCCAUGAUAGUGCAGGUAUAGGAUGGUGUAAGCUGGGAUAGAGCUGCGGUUCGAUGGCUAUACUUCUGCUGUACAGCUACUGCAGCUCUUCGCAAGGUGCACCGUCUGCUCAAUCCUGGCACCAAGUGUUACACUCAGCAAAGCGCGGGGCCCCCUCGGGUCCUGCUACUUCUGUCACCAUUCACUGAUACAUGAGUGUCGGUCACUUCAUAACACCAAGAACUUGUGAAGCUUCUGAAGGAAAAAGGCAUGGCAUGCUGAAAAAGUCGAGCUUGCAGGAAAGGGCUUGGGGUUCUCUACCGGGUCCCAUAGAAGCCCUGGGGCCGUUGUUCCAUAACUGGAUGAAACGAAUUACACUUGGUGCUGCUGAACAAU
rnacentral:lncRNA from 1 species